rnacentral:rRNA from 1 species
CGGCAACAGCUCAAAUUUGAAAUCUGGCCCUAGGCCCGAGUUGUAAUUUGCAGAGGAUGCUUUUGAUGAGGUGCCUUCCGAGUUCCCUGGAACGGGACGCCAUAGAGGGUGAGAGCCCCGUCUGGU